UACGGGGGGGGCAAGCGUUGUUCGGAAUUACUGGGCGUAAAGGGCUCGUAGGCGGCCAACUAAGUCAGACGUGAAAUCCCCAGGCUCAACUUCGGGCUUGCAUUCGAUACGGGCAGGCUGAGAGUUCGGUAGGGGAGACUGGAAUUCCUGGUGUAGGCGGUGAAAUGCGCAGAUAUCAGGAAGAACACCCGUGGCUAAGGCGGCUCUCUAGUACGGUACUGACGCUGAG
rnacentral:rRNA from 1 species